rnacentral:tRNA from 1 species
UUCCAGGUGGCAUAGUGGUAAAGUAUCUGCCUGCCAGUGCAGGAUAUGCAGGAGAUGUGGGUUCAAUCCCUGGCUUGGGAA